rnacentral:misc_RNA from 1 species
CCGCCGCGGGCAUUAAAUCAGUCGGAUCGUCGUCGUGUUCGGGGGUAAAAGUAUCCUUCUGCAGUUACGUGCUGAUCAGCGUACCCAGAUGCAUCAUCAGUUCGUGUAAGUAGCAGGAUGGAAUGAAGCAUAAGGCAGUGGAUGAGUCUUUGUCUUAUAUUCAUCAAUGCCAAAUCCCAUAUGGCAGAACGCUUAGCAGAACCCGGACAACAUGACACACCAGGGAUCCAAUCACCACAGGCCUGCCAGCCAUAAUCGGAUUAAGGCGGCCCCUACAGGGGGCGGAGUCAGAGCAAGGAGGAAUGGCAUCCAUCAUCAUCAGCAAGAAAAAAUUGAUUCUCAGAACAACAUCCUGAAGAAGUCGGGGGAAGCAACUCUGCAAUCAACAAAUCGAGAAUGGGACUGUGGCAUCCCUAUUCCUGAACUCUCAUUAAGAAGCUGCACCUGCUUGGUUGCCAUCUUGUCUCUUUUCUGCUAUUUAAACAGUUGCUGUGGCGAUUUCGUCUUUGACGAUGCAGAAGCAGUGCUUAGCAACAAAGACAUUAAGCCAGAGACACCGAUCAGUGAAUUAUUCCAAGAUGACUUUUGGGGUGAGAGAAUCGUCAAGAAUCAUAGUCAUAAAUCCUACAGACCUCUCACUGUGCUAUCCUUCAGGUUGAACUACAUCCUAAGUGGUGGCUAUCACCCCUUUGGUUUUCAUUUGACUAAUGUCAUCUUGCACUCCUUCAUCAGUGUCUUUUCACUCCGCAUCUUCUCCGUCAUCUUCAGUGAUGCUCAUUCUCGUCUUGAAGCAGAGAAGCGUCAACAUCAAUGUCAAACAUUCCCAGCUCCUAGAGCUAGUUUACUGUGUUCUCUUCUGUUUACAGUGCAUCCUAUCCAUACAGAAAGUGUGGCUGGGAUUGUGGGCAGAGCUGAUCUGUUAUCCACUGUAUUCUUCUUUCUGUCCUUUUAUGUCUAUGUUGCUGCAUUGCAAAAAGACGCUAGUCAUUCUCUUCUGAAGUUAUCAUGUUCUAUAUUGUGUUGUGCUGCAUCAAUGCUGUGUAAAGAACAGGGCAUUACUGCCCUUGGUGUCUGCAUAAUUUAUGACAUCAUCGUCAACUGUCAAGUAGACAUUCUCCAAGUCUUCCAGAGGUUCCUAAUUCAAACCAAAUCCCAUGCUCCUGGUCAUCCAAAAUGGCUGCCUGGUCUAGUGACCAGACUCUUUGUAGUGUCUCUGUGUGCUUUAGUACUGUUGGUUGGGAGAUUUAUCAUAAUGGGCAGUGGGCCACCGCCAUUUCAACCGUCUGACAAUCCUGCGUCAUUCGCUGAUGGAUUUCUGACGCGGGUGACAAACUAUAACUUCAUUUAUGCGCUCAACCUGUGGUUGUUAAUCUUUCCUCACUGGCUUUGCUUCGAUUGGUCAAUGGGAUGUGUGUCUCUGAUUCAAUCAGCCACUGACAUCAGGCUGCUUGCCCCAAUUGCAUUGUGGGUACUGUUGGCUUGUCUGAUCUACAGGUGUGUGGUUGGUCAACCCAGCCACAACAAAAGGGUUCUUACAAUGGCCUUAGCCUUCCUCAUCAUUCCCUUCCUUCCUGCCUCCAAUCUCUUCCUCCGAGUUGGCUUUGUCAUCGCUGAGAGAGUCUUGUAUCUGCCCAGUCUUGGCUUCUGUAUGCUACUGACGCUGUUAAUCAAUAAGAUUUCAUGUAGUCCUGUAUCUAAGAGGGCUGUGCGAGGUCUCUUGGUUGUUCUGAUGGCUUGCUAUAUUGGUAGAUGUAUCCAACGCAACCAAGAUUGGAUGACAGAGGAAAAACUUUAUAAAGCUGGAUUGGAUGUGUGUCCACAGAAUGCCAAAGUUCAUUACAAUAUUGGUAAGAAUGCUGCUGAUCGUGGUAACUUAGAAGAAGCUAUCACAUACUACAGACAAGCACUGAGUUUGAAUCCUGUCUAUGAUCAAGCUAUGAACAACCUUGCCAACCUGCUGAAAGAUCAAGGACGUCUUACAGAGGCAGAGAAGCUGCUUCAAAAGGCAGUCCAAAUCAAACCACAGUUUGCAGCAGCUUGGAUGAACCUGGGCAUUGUUCAAGCUGUUAUCAAGAAAUAUACGGAUGCUGAACAGAGCUACAAGACAGCUCUGUUUCAUCGUCCUAGAUAUGCAGACUGUUACUUCAAUCUUGGUAACAUGGUCGAUAUGAGACAGCCAUAUUGGUUGCCAAGGAAGCCAUGAAGCAUGUUCCACAGGAGCCAUCCAUCUAUUUUGGCCUGGGGAACGUACUGGGCAAAGAGGGACGUUAUCAGGAGGCCGAAGAAAACUUCUUAAAAGCGAUUCGCCUGAACCCCAUGAUGGCUAAUUACCAUGGCAACCUCGGUGUAUUGUACCAUCGCUGG